UCACUAUUAAAAACAGUGAUACGUGGUGUACAGGUGAGUAUAACAUGGACGAAACCCUUUAGUAAGCUAAAAUAGCUUAUAUUAACAAAGAAUAAAAAUAUUUGCUUUAGGAUGUUUAUGUAUCGAGUAGACACACCAUAAAUUAUGUAUUUUGUAGGUGGCAAUAAUACUCGUAAUCAAGGCUGAAAGGUUAAUUGAUCACAGUGUGGCAUGAAAAAAGCCCACUAUUGGCAGCAGUGAGGAAUAUUGGUCAAUAGCCUAACGGCUGAACCAGCAACUUGGAGGAACGAAAAAUCGAAGUCAUGAGCGGUUACCAUGUUAAAAGAAUGUGGUGCAUAAUGCGAAUAGUUCGAAGUAAAUUUUGAUUAUGACAUAAUUUGCUUCUUGGUCUUGACCCACUCAUGUGCCAGCAGUCGCGGUAAGACAUGGAAGGCCAGCGUUAUUCAUCUUUAUUAGGUUUAAAGGGUACCUAGACGGUUAUAUUAGCUUUUUUCUCUAAAGAUGAUUGUACUAUAUUAACUAGAGUUUAAUAUAAGGAAUCCAGAUGUGUGAGUGUAGGGAUAAAAUCUGUUGAUACCACUUUAAACUGGUUUAGGUGAAGACAGGUUCUUAUGUAAUAACUGACGUUGAGGGACGAAGGCUCAAUAUAAGCAACGGGAUUAGUUACCCCAGUACUAAGAGCAGACAAUGAUGAAUGCCAUAUGUAAGAAAUAAUUUUUUAUGUAUAAAUUAAAAUGGAAGCAUUCCACCUCAAGAGUAAUAUGGCAACAUAUAAACUGAAAUCMCUAGGCCGCUUCUGGAAUUCGUAGUGAAGUAUGUUAUUUAAUUUGAUGAUCCGCAAAGGACCUUACCACAGUGUGUAUAGUUAUAUAUGUAAAUAUAUUUNCGGACAAGUGUUGCACGGCUGUCUGCAGUUGAUAUCGUGAGACCUGAUUAACUUCAGAAAUCAACGUAAUCCCUGACUUUACUUAUAGUAAAGUACUAUUUUUGGCAUCUGAAUCCUUACCGAAUUUAAUACAUGGGAGCAGGACAAGUCAUCAUGGCCAAACAUUAAAAUUGAUAGUAUUGUGGGCGAUAGACGUGCCACAUUUAACCUAGACAAAAAGAUGCAUAAUCGUGAGA
rnacentral:rRNA from 1 species